rnacentral:tRNA from 1 species
AAGUCUUGGGGUGUUACACGUCAGCUUGCAAAUCUGAAGAAGCAGGUGACUGCCUGCCGGGACUUUCC